AAGAAUGCAAGAGAGACCAAAGAGACAAAAACAGACGAAAAAGGAGAAACACGGUUAAAGAAGGAAUGGAGGAAAAAUAAAAGAGAAGGGGCUCCAAAGAGAGAUUUGGGCCUAGUUUAUGGGAAAGAUAAUAAAAAAGAGGAGAGAGAGAGAGAGUUGCCUAGUGAGAGAGAGAUUUAUGUUUUUGUUGUCAUGGUUUAGAG
rnacentral:lncRNA from 1 species